rnacentral:lncRNA from 1 species
UCAGAUUGCCAAUAAUUGUUCAACUUUUUAGAUUUAUUCUUGUUCAAAUUUAAUUUCCUUCGCUUACCUAAAUAGACGGAGAUAACAAGGAUUCGUAUCACAGCGAUUUGGAACACAAAUUGACAGAAUAAAGUAAAACGAAACAAAAACUUGUGAUGGGAAAGAACACAGAAGAAAAAAUACUAGAGAGAAUUGAGAGGAGAGAGAAAACAAUAAAAAUUUGAAAGAAAAUAGAAAACUAAAAGAUAUGACAACAUAUCCCCUAUUUUUCUCCCACUAACCCACUAACUCACAAAUAACUCAGAAUUUUAGCUCUAUCAAAGCUCUAUCAGACAACCAAGCAAAAAUUAACACCCAUGCUCAUGCAGGGAUUCGAACACAGAACUUUCAACACACCAACUCCUUGCCACUCGAAUCAGCAAGUUCAUUCCAAUAUUUGAAGUAACUUAGACCCGUGGUAAAGAAAAAACUUACUAAUGUAAACUUUAAGGCCCUUAAUGCAAUUGUUUGCAAAGUUAACCCUCAGUAAGCACAAUUGUUCAUGUUGGGGAUAUACCUGUAUAAGCAACGGACAAGAUAAAAUAAAGAAAAAUUGGGCACAAAUAUUUACGUGGAAAAACUCCUCAAAUCAAGAGGAUAAAAAACCACGAGCAAAGAAAGACUUCAUUAAAUGAGUAAAUAAUCUAAAAGAGUACAAAAUUGAGAUGAUCGAAAACAAACCCUAAACCUUGUAUAACAAAGCUCUCUAGCUAAAACAUGAAAUUCCUUUAAACCCUCUCAAAACUCUCUUAAUCUUUUCUCUAAAUUUUAAUGUGACGAAG